ensembl:misc_RNA Vault Vault RNA
GGGAAGGCCGUAGCUCAGCAGUUCCUUCAAAUGCAUUGUGAUUUCAUUACACUUUUGCGGGUGAUUCAAGACCCACAGGUACUCCCCUGUCCUUUA